GGGGAAUAUUGGGCAAUGGGCGAAAGCCUGACCCAGCAACGCCGCGUGAAGGAAGAAGGUUUUCGGAUCGUAAACUUCUAUCCUUGGUGAAGAUAAUGACGGUAGCCAAGAAGGAAGCCCCGGCUAACUACGUGCCAGCAGCCGCGGUAAUACGUAGGGGGCAAGCGUUGUCCGGAAUGAUUGGGCGUAAAGGGCGCGUAGGCGGCCUGGUAAGUCUGGAGUGAAAGUCCUGCUUUUAAGGUGGGAAUUGCUUUGGAUACUGCUGGGCUUGAGUGCAGGAGAGGUAAGUGGAAUUCCCGGUGUAGCGGUGAAAUGCGUAGAGAUCGGGAGGAACACCAGUGGCGAAGGCGACUUACUGGACUGUAACUGACGCUGAGGCGCGAAAGUGUGGGGAGCAAACAG
rnacentral:rRNA from 1 species